ensembl:lncRNA
CCCAAGUGCAGACUGUGUUGAAGUUACAAUGUUUAUUACAGCAACAGGGGCAGGCAAACGACAAGUCAAGGCAAGCAGGGGUCGAUAAUCCAGAGAGGUGGGGCCAAGGCACAGGACGGCAGGCAGGCUCAGGUCAGGCAGAGGUCAGAAAUCCAGAGUAGGGGGCAACGGGUCAGGACAGCAGGCAGGGUCAGGCAGAGUGGUCAGGCAGGUGGGCUCAGAGUCCGGACAGGCAAAGAUCAAAACCAGAAGGGCGACUGGGGAAAAGCGGGAGCUGAGAAAACCGCUGGUUGACUUGACAAACAAAACAAACUGGCAACAGACAAACACAGGUAUAAGUACCCAGGGGAUAAUGGGGAAAAUGGGCAACAUCUGGAGGGAGGGGGUGUGGGGGGGGGUUGAGACAAGCACAAGGACAGGUGAAACAGAUGAGGGAGUGACAUCACAAUGAAGAGAAUAACGUUCAUAUACAUAAUUAUGCAUUUCUGUGAAGUACAUUCCGUUACCGGGUGUAAAUCCACUUCACUUACUGUAGUUCAAUAACCAAAAUAGAUUUUUUCUAAGUUAAUGUGUCAUGUCAUAGUAUGUCAUUAGUUUUUGGAAAACUAAAAACAAACUGAGGGAGAUUUGACUGGAAUUCUGUGACCAAACUUUGCAUUUGCACAGUUCUUCCAGUAAAUGUGUCUUAGUAAAAAUCUGUGUAAAUUGUAAAAAAAAAAAAAUCAAAUAAAGGUAGUCCUUGUGCAUAGACAUGUAUAGUUUGUUAAACUUUGAAAGCAAGGGUUUUUGUUCGGCAUACAUUUGAAGUGAAAAAUCUGAGUCUCAGAGCAAUUCGGUCACCGUGGAAUUGCCCACAUGCAGUGCACUUGAACUUUUGACAAAACUCAUUCAGUAUUAAUACUCAAUGAGUAUUGAAUGAUAACGCCCACUGUGGUUAACACAAACUCUGUUAUUCAACAUGCAUAGGAUGCUAGCCCGUGAGGAACAUUUCUCUCAACAACCUCUG